AAAAGGGGGAAAAGAAUAGAAACAACCCUUGAGGAAGAAAUUCAAGAGAAAUUCAUCGGUUACCGAAAAACAAAGCGAUCUGAGGUAUAGGUGGUGAGCCCUCUGAUAAGGGUAAGGAUAUCGUACACGAGGACCAGGAGUAGGAGUGCUUCCGUUAUUGCUCAGGGUAGUUUGUAGACCGCUGAUUUUGUCGAGGGUUUACUUUUGGAUUCGCACCCUUAGAAAUCGUGGGUUUACAAUCGUGCUUAUAUUGGUUAUUUUGGGCCUCACAUGUCAUUGUAGAAUAUUUUUGUAUACCUUAGCGCAAUGUGCUAUUAUAUAUACGAAUUUAGUUUGUUAUUACUUUUCAUUAAUUGUUUACGUAGAAUUUUAUAAA